rnacentral:lncRNA from 1 species
UGGUACAAGAAAUCUAAUAUCUAAUUAAAGUAGCAGAAAUUUUACGAUAUACAUUGUUUCAAAGUUAUGGUACGGCUUAGAAUAAAUCAAAGCCAUCGACUUUAUUAUACGAGUAUAUAUUUGCCUCCUUUUUUUUUACGGGUAAUUACCUCCUAAUCUUAGAUGGACAAUCACAAGGACACCUAAGUCUUACAGCACGAGAGUCAAUUAGUUCCACGGUCAAGUCCCUAGGCCCUGGCUAGAACUCUAAUAGGAGAAUCAAAACCUGGUCCUCGGCCAGAGAGCAAAAUCGACCGCUGCUAACGUAGAGAGAUGCCUGAGAAAAAAAAAACAAGUCCUAUACAUUCAGUGAUGAUGCUGGUGGGAUAUUUAAAUUUAAGAGAUCAGUUUAGUUCUUCGUGACGAGAAAAACUAGAAAUUACUAUGUAAAAAUAUGGUUGAAUCGCGGACCGCUAGACCCAAUGCGAUCUCUCCUCCGUUCCAAUCAUGAACAACCCAAUACACUUAAUAAACACAAGUCUCUAAAAUUCCAAAUUUGUUAACCUAACACACGAAUGUUGGCAAUAAUAUGACUAAUUAAAGUAGCAGAAAUUCUAUGUGUAGAUUGUUUCAAAGUUAUCGUACGACUGAGAAUAAAUCAACACAUAGUUUCAACACAAUUUACAUAAAACCCCUUAUUCAAACCCCGAUUGGCAAGGAUUACGGCCAAAGAAAAACGAUUUGCCUCAAUUAUUUAAUCCAUUGAUUGUACGGAGUCCCUCGAUUGUGUAGAUGAUUUUGCUUAGAAUUGCUUAGAUUUAAAAUCUAAAACGGUGACGAUACCGACGCCGUGACACUAAUCGGGUAGAACAGAAGGGAUAGGUAUAGAGAUUUGCAUUUGAUGAUGUCACUAUGACAUCAUGGUGAUGCCAGCAAGUCAACAAAUUGGCAAUUGCUUACGGAGGAUCUCAAUGAAUUGCAGAUUAAGACCAGGAUCCCAAUUUAGUUUUCUGUUUCAGCAGAACUUGACAAACAUAAAAUUCAAAUCUCCAUUUGAUAGAUAUCAUCGGUUGAAAGGCAAAAUUAUAUCUGCUAUUGAUUUCAGAUUUUAAUGGUUAUCAUUAUUUUUGUUUUGAAAAUAGGAAACUCACCGGAUACAAGCAAAAAAGGGAUUAUCCAUAGCGAGGCGUAACGCCGUAUUCAAAUCGACCUUAUCGGGCGCCAGUGCGCGGCUUUCAGGUCGUAUCCAUGAAACCAAGCGCAAAGCAGACAAACCCAUAUUUCAAAUCUAAGAACCAAUUAAAAAAAUGACAUACACCAACACAUAUUGGGUAGAUAAAAGUCAUAACGAACAUUGGAUGAUGGGCCUAAUAGAUACAAAUUGGGUAGAUAAAAGUCAGCAAAAACUGCAUUAUCCAUUAUAAAAUUCUGCACAUCUAUAAUCAAUGUCUAAAAUGAAACUUUUGAAAUACCUAAAUAAAAAGUUGAUAUGCAAAUUGAAACACAAACACAUAUGUUCCAAUAUAAAGCUCAACACUUUUCUAUUUUACACGAUGUUAAUAAAAUAAAGCUCGCUCUCAGUAAAGCAUGUAACGAGUAUCUAAUCUAAGCAUUCAUAACAUUCGAUCUUGUCAUUCCGAAGAUACAUAUCAACAAAAACAAGUAAAGAACUAUAUAUUUUGAUAGGUAAAAAAAUAAAAAAUAAAGAAAUUUUCCAAAAUAAUAAUAAUCAAUGAACAGUUCCAAAUACUCUCUCAGUCUCAUAUUAAGUGACGAAAUAUUACAUGCAUGUACCUAGCCGC